rnacentral:rRNA from 1 species
ACGCACGCUGGCGGCGUGCUUCACACCUGCCAGUCGAACGGAAAGGCCCCUUUGGGGGUACUCGAGUGGCGAACGGGUGAGUAACACGUGAGUAACCUGCCCUUGACUUCGGGAUAACUUCAGGAAACUGGGGCUAAUACCGGAUAGGAAUCCUUGCUGCAUGGUGGGGGUUGGAAAGCUUCGGCGGUUUUGGAUGGACUCGCGGCUUAUCAGCUUGUUGGUGGGGUAGUGGCUUACCAAGGCUUUGACGGGUAGCCGGCCUGAGAGGGCGACCGGCCACAUUGGGACUGAGAUACGGCCCAGACUCCUACGGGAGGCAGCAGUGGGGAAUAUUGCACAAGGGGCGGAAGCCUGAUGCAGCAACGCCGCGGGCGGGAUGACGGCCUUCGGGUUGUAAACCGCUUUCAGCAGGGGCGAAGCUUGUGGUGACGGUACCUGCAGAAGAAGCACCGGCUAAAUACGUG